rnacentral:rRNA from 1 species
UACGAAGGGUGCAAACGUUGCUCGGAAUUAUUGGGCGUAAAGCGCACGUAGGCGGCUAUCUAAGUCGGAUGUGAAAUCCCUCGGCUUAACCAAGGAAGUGCACCCGAAACUGGAUAGCUUGAGUACAGAAGAGGAUCGCGGAAUUCCCGGUGUAGAGGUGAAAUGCGUAGAUAUCUGGAGGAACACCGGUGGCGAAGGCGGCGUUCUGGACUGCAACUGACGCUGAGGCGCGAAAGCGUGGGGAGCAAACAGG